AGGAUGCAGCAGAGUUCAUGACUUGGAAUAUUGACAAGAGGAGGGGUGCAUUCAAUUCAAAUCAAUUCAAGGAUUGGAAAUAAAUAAUAGGUUAAUCGAAUUAGGUCGUCCAUACACCAUCUGAAAAUAUACAAGUACGACGUACGCACCUGACUAUGCGCUUAACCUCAGGAAGAUGCUUGUAACGAUUCUUCACAGCCUCCAAAUAUUCGUGCUUCUUACGUUCUCUUGGCAAAAGCUGCAGCAGCAAAUAUGGAAGAUUCAUUUGCAUCAAAUCUAUGCGACUCACGAUUGCUUUUGAAAACAUGGGGAAAUUUUACUCAUGCUUGUUUAGAUAGCAAGAAAUUUGAAUAAAAAAGGGGUAACAAAGAAGAAGAGAUCCAUACAACUCCCAGUUGCUCGGAUGCCUUGGCUUUCCAUAGUCUAAGGUUGGUAUCGUCGCUCCCAGAAAUAACAUAACUUGCAUCACAGCUAAACUUGACAGAGAAAACCCUGAAGAUGAAAAAUCGAAUUAAAAACUUCUCGAUGGAAUGUGUAAACAGAUUUCUUCAAUUAAUUAGACGCUAAUGCAAUUGUGUUCAUGUCACACACACACACACACACACAUAUAUAUAUGCAUGUAUGUAUGUAUACACAGAACUGCUUCUAAAUAUUGACCUUUGCAUUCUCUUGGUAUGAUAUAUUUCUCGGCUAUGGCCACCAUUAUACGAGAA